GAUGAGGGUACCCACUGCAGCAUCUGUCACCCCACUAAUGGCCAAGGUUGAUUAGGCUGACCUGGCUGGUUUGGUGGAUGUCCCCUCCCUCCCCCACCCCAACACUUAAGUCCCUUGGGAAGGGAGGAAGCUCAUGUGUGCAAAGCUGCCUGCUCACCCAAGCAGCUACCCAUGAAAGAGGAGGACCAUUUUUUCCGGCAAGAGUAUACUAGUAGUUGCACUCCCCUGUUGAAACCUCCAAAAAAGCUCCUACACAAUAGGCCUCUAAAAGAUAAGUAUAAAAACUGAGGCAAUAAAGGAGACCUAGGCUCUCUCAGAUUUU
ensembl:misc_RNA 7SK 7SK RNA